rnacentral:rRNA from 1 species
GAUCCUGGCUCAGGAUGAACGCUAGCUACAGGCUUAACACAUGCAAGUCGAGGGGCAGCAUGACGAUAGCUUGCUAUUGUUGAUGGCGACCGGCGCAUGGGUGAGUAACGCGUAUCCAACCUGCCCUUGUCCAUCGGAUAACCCGUCGAAAGGCGGCCUAACACGAUAUGCAGUUCUCAGCAGGCAUCUAACGAGAACGAAGUGUGAAGGAGAAGGAUGGGGA